AUUAACGCGAAAAACCCUUACCUAUCCUUGACAUGCCGAGAAUCCUGAAGAGAUUUGGGAGCUGCCCGAAAGGGAACUUUGGACACAGGUGCUGCAUGGCUGUCGUCAGCUCGUGUCGUGAGAUGUUGGGUUAAGUCCCGCAACGAGCGCAACCCUUGUCCAUUAAAUUGCCAUCAUUCAGUUGGGCACUUUAAUGAAGACUGCCGGUGAUAAACCGGAGGAAGGUGGGGAUGACGUCAAGUCCUCAUGGCCCUUAUGGGUAGGGCUUCACACGUAAUACAAUGGUCGGUACAGAGGGUUGCCAACCCGCGAGGGGGAGCCCAAUCUCAGAAAAGUCCGAUCGUAGUCCGGAUUGUUCUCUGCAACUCGAGAGCAUGAAGUCGGAAUCGCUAGUAAUCGCGGAUCAGCAUGUCGCGGUGAAUACGUUCCCGGGUCUUGUACACACGCAAU
rnacentral:rRNA from 1 species